UGGGAUUAAACUGAACUUAUAGAUCAAUCUGGGAAGAACUGACAGUAUGAUGUUUGCUACAGAUUUUUCAUAGAUGCCUUUUAUCAGAGCUGCUUGAAACCACCUCUGCUUUCUAGCUGCUGGCUAGCCUGACUUCCCUCAGGAAAGACCCAUAAAAGGAAGAAUUGCCCCCAACAAAUGAGCAGAGCAUGAUCUGUUGUGUGAAAGGAAAGAGGCAUGACUUUGGAUCCUGUAGAAGCCAGUUUGCUCUACCCAGCAAAAAACUGCUCCUUAUCCUGAGACUUUAACUCUGGCAACCAAUUUUCCUAGUUAGGUUACUGGAAACAAUAAGAGGAAUUGGGCCACAAUGAAUACGAUCCAAUGAAAAUCCAGUGAAAUUCUUAAAAAACCUUGGUAGUUCUGGUAUCUCAGUAUUGACACAGAAAAGACAGGCCCUACCUAAUGAAUAUUUUAACUUUUAUCAACCUUAAAACUCUAAUUAAAAUGUUGUCCAGCAA
rnacentral:lncRNA from 1 species